AGACCGCAAGACGAUGUGAAUGGGCUUGGGCCUGUUCAUUGGGUUAUGGCUCAGGAAAGUCCCCGGGCCUAUUCUGCAGAGAUGCAGGCUUGGAAACGAGUUAGCUUCGCGUGCUUUAGGAGUUCAAAUGGGCUGAGACGAGGUGGGGAGCCCAUGGACUCUUACAGGAAGUGAUAUUGGCCUGAUAAUAACAGUGAUUCACGUGGUCUGGUUUAAAAUUGGACUAACUUAACGGGGCUUAUGAUCUUGCGGUC
rnacentral:RNase_MRP_RNA from 1 species